rnacentral:rRNA from 1 species
CGUAGGGAGCAAGCGUUGUUCGGAUUUACUGGGCGUAAAGGGCGCGUAGGCGGCAAAUCAAGUCAGCUGUGAAAUCUCCGAGCUUAACUCGGAACGGUCAGCUGAUACUGCUUUGCUAGAGUGCGGAAGGGCAAUCGGAAUUCUUGGUGUAGCGGUGAAAUGCGUAGAUAUCAAGAGGAACACCUGAGGUGAAGACGGGUUGCUGGGCCGACACUGACGCUGAGGCGCGAAAGCCAGGGGAGCAAACGGGAUUAGAUACCCCGGUAGUCCUGGCCUUAAACGAUGAAUACUUGGUGUCUGGAGUCUCUAUAGCUCCGGGUGCCGUCGCUAACGUUUUUAGUAUUCCGCCUGGGGAGUACGCACGCAAGUGUG